rnacentral:rRNA from 1 species
GACGAACGCUGGCGGCGUGCUUAACACAUGCAAGUCGAACGGUAAGGCCCUUCGGGGUACACGAGUGGCGAACGGGUGAGUAACACGUGGGUGAUCUGCCCUGCACUUCGGGAUAAGCCUGGGAAACUGGGACUAAUACCGGAUAGGACCACUGCCUGCAUGGGUGGUGGUGGAAAGCUUUUGCGGUGUGGGAUGGGCCCGCGGCCUAUCAGCUUGUUGGUGGGGUGAUGGCCUACCAAGGCGACGACGGGUAGCCGGCCUGAGAGGGUGACCGGCCACACUGGGACGGGGAUACGGCCCAGACUCCUACGGGAGGCAGCAGUGGGGAAUAUUGCACAAUGGGCGCAAGCCUGAUGCAGCGACGCCGCGUGAGGGAUGACGGCCUUCGGGUUGUAAACCUCUUUCAGCACCGACGAAGCGCAAGUGACGGUAGGUGCAGAAGAAGGACCGGCCAACUACGUGCCAGCCGCCGCCGUAACAC